rnacentral:misc_RNA from 1 species
AAAUUAAACACAUCCAUAUGAAGGGAGACGCCAUUUACAUCCCAUGGGAUAAUAGCAAGUACGUGUCUCUUUUUCCUGGCAUCUAAUAACACCUGAUGAAUCGGUUGACUUACUCCUUCCACCAACUUUUAAAUUUUUUAAACAUAUCUCGAAGCUCCAAAGGAAGGGCAAUGAACAAGAAACCCAACCAAAAAAUUCCGCCAGUCAGCCAAGAGAAA